UACGUAGGGCGCAAGCGUUGUCCGGAAUUAUUGGGCGUAAAGAGCUCGUAGGCGGCUUGUCGCGUCGGUUGUGAAAGCCCGGGGCUUAACCCCGGGUCUGCAGUCGAUACGGGCAGGCUAGAGUUCGGUAGGGGAGAUCGGAAUUCCUGGUUGUAGCGGUGGAAAUGACGCAGAUAUCAGGAGGAACACCGGUGGCGAAGGCGGGUCUCUGGGCAGUAACUGACGCUGGAGGAGCGAAAGCGUGGGGAGCGAACAGG
rnacentral:rRNA from 1 species